AGCGAACGCUGGCGGCAGGCCUAACACAUGCAAGUCGAACGAACUCUUCGGAGUUAGUGGCGGACGGGUGAGUAACACGUGGGAACGUGCCUUUAGGUUCGGAAUAACUCAGGGAAACUUGUGCUAAUACCGAAUGUGCCCUUCGGGGGAAAGAUUUAUCGCCUUUAGAGCGGCCCGCGUCUGAUUAGCUAGUUGGUGAGGUAAAGGCUCACCAAGGCGACAAUCAGUAGCUGGUCUGAGAGGAUGAUCAGCCACAUUGGGACUGAGACACGGCCCAAACUCCUACGGGAGGCAGCAGUGGGGAAUCUUGCGCAAUGGGCGAAAGCCUGACGCAGCCAUGCCGCGUGAAUGAUGAAGGUCUUAGGAUUGUAAAAUUCUUUCACCGGGGACGAUAAUGACGGUACCCGGAGAAGAAGCCCCGGCUAACUUCGUGCCAGCCGCCGCCGUAA
rnacentral:rRNA from 1 species